GACGAACCGUGCGAACGUUGUUCGGAAUCACUGGGCUUAAAGGGCGCGUAGGCGGGCGAUCAAGUCAGGGGUGAAAUCCCACGGCUCAACCGUGGAAGUGCCUUUGAUACUGGUCGUCUCGAGGGAGGUAGGGGCGUGCGGAACUUCCGGUGGAGCGGUGAAAUGCGUAGAUAUCGGAAGGAACGCCGGUGGCGAAAGCGGCGCGCUGGACCUCUUCUGACGCUGAGGCGCGAAAGCCAGGGGAGCAAACGGG
rnacentral:rRNA from 1 species